UUUUAAACUAUGAUAGAGAGAGUAGAUAUAGAAAUUUUUAAAGGGAGAAAAAGUCAUAGACUGAGAGCUUUUUCAAAAGGAAUAUAUUGAAGUUCACUCUGGAGUUCUAAGUGUGAAAUUAAAGUAGCAUUUAGCGGCAUAUGUCGAUAAAAUCUCAAGAGAAUUGAAAAUUGAUAUUUUCAAUUAAUAAGGGUGGUAACGCGGAAUAACUUCGUCCCUAGU
rnacentral:ncRNA from 1 species